rnacentral:rRNA from 1 species
UGGUGGAGUGAUUUGUCUGGUUAAUUCCGUUAACGAACGAGACCUCGACCUGCUAAAUAGUCUACUAUACCCUUUGGGUAUAGCUAAACUUCUUAGAGGGACUAUCGGUUGUUAGCCGAUGGAAGUUCGAGGCAAUAACA